rfam:Schistosoma mattheei strain Denwood, Zambia genome assembly, scaffold: SMTD_scaffold0018007
AUCCAGCUGACCAGUCCUAAAUAGAACGAAACGCGGUUCCUGCAU